rnacentral:rRNA from 1 species
CCUACGGGUGGCUGCAGUGGGGAAUAUUGGACAAUGGGCGAAAGCCUGAUCCAGCCAUGCCGCGUGUGUGAAGAAGGCCUUCGGGUUGUAAAGCACUUUCAGUGGGGAAGAAAGCCUUGGGGCUAAUACCCUCGAGGAAGGACAUCACCCACAGAAGAAGCACCGGCUAACUCCGUGCCAGCAGCCGCGGUAAUACGGAGGGUGCGAGCGUUAAUCGGAAUUACUGGGCGUAAAGCGCGCGUAGGCGGUCUGAUAAGCCGGUUGUGAAAGCCCCGGGCUCAACCUGGGAACGGCAUCCGGAACUGUCAGGCUAGAGUGCAGGAGAGGAAGGCAGAAUUCCCGGUGUAGCGGUGAAAUGCGUAGAGAUCGGGAGGAAUACCAGUGGCGAAGGCGGCCUUCUGGACUGACACUGACGCUGAGGUGCGAAAGCGUGGGUAGCAAACAGGAUUAGAUCCCUUGUAGUC